CCUUUGCUGGGUGCCCGUGCUAGGUUGACUAAGUGAGCCUGUAUAUUGGGUCUACUCACCUGCUGAUGUAACAUUCAUUAGCCCGGCGUGCUCGGCGCAGACACUUGCAGAAGAGAUGAGCGAUAUUAAUGCUAUUCAGAUGGCAAGCAGAUGAAUCGAGGGUCGCGACGAAGACAAACUAUCCGAAAUUUUGGUUAACACCCUUGGUGAGCGGAAUGAGUUUUCACGGUGCUUUUCAUGGUGCAACGAGAUGGUGACUAAUUAUGAGAAAUAAACAAACCAUGAAGCAUCAGUUUGGGACUCUCCGUGUGCUUGCUCAACUAAGCCAAGGGCUGUUACAGAUAUACUCAAGUAAAGUACGAGUAUGUGGCCUUUCAAAUCAAGUGGUCUCUGAAAGUUGGUCAUUGAGCAGCAGCUGGUCCACAGUUGGUUGACUGUCCCGGAGUGUUGUCCCAGAUAUGAUACUCUUUCAUUCUUCUGAUUGCUAUUUCAACUUCAGAAUUCAAAACUAUGGCUAUGGCUUGUGUUUUCAGAGCAUCUCCUUUGCUGAACUCUGCUGUGGUUUUAAAGGGUGGUAUGAUCAACUUUGCCCAUAAGCCCACAGAGGUCCCAGCACUACAUGGAGCAAUCCCAAUUAACCCUUUGAAGGUUGUAGUGAUUUUGUAGUUUGAGAAAAUUGUCAAACUCAGAUUACCACACCACUGCACAGUCAAUGAUCACCCCCACCUCUGGACUGUACUGCCUGAAUCUGAGUGGCAUGGUACUAUAAAAAUGUCUGUGUAUGUUUGCUUAUAUCAAGACUAUGUUUAUAUCUGUGUAGUUUCCCUAUAGGAAUGUACCUGAUGAGUACCGAAACAUCGUACAUAAAGUGAGUACAAGUGAUUAACAAUGUGCAGGAUUAUUUUGGGGUCUUUCAGUCAGAGUUUAUAAUCUGUCCUUGUGCAGGACUCAUUUUAGAAAAAGGAGGCUAAACCAGUGUAGGAAAAACAACUUCAGGAGUACUGAUGUCACAAUGUUUGUCAUAAUGACUUGAACAACUGGCAAAAUAUUCAACAAAAUGGGAAGAAAAUGUGACCUACAGCUGCAGUCAACAGAAAUGUUCUGUCAAAAUAAACAAAUGAAUAAAUGGAUUUUUUGAGUUUUGGAAGAAAAUUCCAUUGCAACCAAAGGCCUUAUCGCUCCAAGCCAACAUUUUGGUGAUUAUGUAGGAAAAGGAACAAAAAAGAGCUCAGCUGCAAACUGAGAAUGAGAAAACAAGUUGUUAAUGUAUUGUAUGUUAUCUAUGAGCCUGUACCUUAACCGGAUUAAACUCAUCUUUGCUUUUUAAAUUUGUUGCCUGAGGCCAUUUUCCUGUGACAUGCAUAUAAAAUUCAAACCUUUUCCUGACCCAGUUAUUCAGAUUAUAUUACUAUAUUUAAUAAAAAUUCAAAUUAAGGCUAAGUAUUUUUUUUUUG